UUGAUGGGUGCUACAACUGUAUUGAUUAACACGACACCCUUGAUGGGUGCUACUAUUGAUUAACACGACGCCCUUGAUGGGUGAUACUAUAGAGAAAGACUACCUCACCCUUGAUGGGUGCUUCUAUUGAGAUAUACGACACCCUUGAUGGGUGCCAACGAAUUAAUUCAAUAUAGAAUUACUUAUGUAAUACAGUUGUAAAACCAGCAAGUGAUUUUUUUUUUUUAAAGAAAACAAAGAGUUAAGGAUAUUUUUUUCUCCAACUUUUUUCCAAGGAACCUCUCCACACGAUACUUAAUUUUGACACAAAUCUUACCAAGCACCAGAUGGGAAAGGAAUGAAAAUCCCACCGCUUGGAUGUGCAAUUAAAACAGCCAAAAAAAUUGAGAUCAUUUGUUUUUAUUAAUGCAUGCCAUUGUUUUUGUGUGUCAGUAAUGCACGAUUCCGAAAAUAAUCAUGUAUUCGAAAUGAGCAGUAGCGCGCUUUCGAUUCGAUUAAAAAUGACUUUCAAAAGAUAGCACGUAUAAAUCAAAGGCUUAAAUCCUCAAGGGUAAAAUAAAUAAAUGAGGAGAAAUUGUCGGAGCGGAACGGCGAAAUCGGAACAAAACUGAUUGCCAAUCUUUUUUUUUUCUCGUUAAGACGAUGGAUAUCGACCGGUGGGUAUAUUACAAACAACAUAUUUAUCGUUCGUUAACAAUAAUGAGUUCGUGUUGAGAUCGAGUGCGAACAAAGUUAGUGUCGAUCAUUAAAUUUGGUCAAUCAUUUGUCUGAUUUGUGUAUAGGAAUCAAAUAAGACGAUGUCGACCUGCAUGACUUGCAUGGAUUAAAACAACAAAUGCAUCGUUCGUUCACGAUUAUGAGUUCGUGUUGAUUUCGUUUGCGAACAAAGUAGUGUCAAUCAUUAAAUUUUGUCAAUCAUUUGUCUGAUUUGUGUAUAGGAAGAAAAUAAGACGAUGUAUGCUAUAUCGACGUAUUGAUCAAAACAACAUAUUUAUCGUUCGUUCACGAUUACGAGUUCGUGUUGAGUUCGAGUGCGAACAAAGUUAGUGUCAAUCAUUAAAUUUUGUCAAUCAUUUGUCAAUCAUUUUGUCCGAUUUGUGCAUAGGAAGAAAAUAAGAAUUUGUUUUGAGUUCGAUUGCAAAAAAAAGUUACACGAGUACAAGUUGAAAGACAAUUAUGUACACGGGUACAGGUACUUAAAACUGCUAAAGCACGUAGCAUCUGCUAUCUAGGAAGGAUUUUUAUGUCGAAAUCAUGGUGGGGCCAUGUGUAGUAAAUCGUUCUGCUUCUCUUCCAAUUUGCAACAUCUGCUUAUUUUUGUUUACUCUUGCACAAUAAUAUCUCCUGCUUGGCUUUUAAAGACACUGAUUGUGAGAUGUAUAGGGUCAUGUUUGUACGGAAUAUUUUUUUCGUUUGUAACAAAUCGUGUUAGAUAAUUAGGGCCAUUGUGUACCAUUGAAACCUUUUGAAAUUCCAGUCGCGUCUAUCAUGCAUUUUCUCGUCGUUCUACAUUGAUUCUCAUUGUGAAAAAAAAUCCUAGGGCCAUGUGUGCAAAACUUUCAUCGCUGUUUGGUAGAGAUUUCUGCAAAACUCAGUUUUUCUUGCGUUAUCUUUUGUACUUAGGCCCGAUUAUAACAGAUUAUUUACAGGAUUCCAGGGCCAUGUGGACGUAUCUUACUUUGUUUUUGUAAAGAAAUAUCUUUCUACUUUACUAUUCACAAUUUUUAGGGACAUGUGGUGCAGUGUGGAGAUGUUACGUUCGUCCGUUCUAGAUAAAUUUCUCCAAUAACCGGAUGUGUAUUUGCUUGAAAAUUGCUAACAAGUGCAUUCAUAUGGCAAUGAGUGUCAGAUGUAAAGGGUCAUGUUUGUACGGAAUACUUUUUCGUUUGUAACAAAUCAUGUUAGAUAAUUAGGGCCAUGUGUAACAUUGAAACCUUUUGAAAUUCCAGUCGCGUCUAUCAUGCAUUUCCUCGUCGUUCUACAUUGAUUCUCGUUGUGAAAAAAUCCUAGGGCCAUGUGUGCAAAACUUUCAUCGCCGUUUUUGUAGAGAUUUCUGCAAAACCCAAUUUUUCUUGCGUUAUCUUUUGUACUGAGGCCUAUUAUGACAUAUUAUCAACAGAAUUCCAGGGCCAUAUGAACAUGUCUUACUUUGUUUUGUAAAAACAUCUUUCUACUUUAUUAUGCACAAUUAUUUUAGGGACAUGUGGUGCAGUGUAGAGAUCUUACGUUCAUCCGUUCCGGAUAAAUUUCUCCAAUAGCUGGAUGUGUAUUUUCUUGACAAUUGCUUGGGCAUUCAUAUGGAAAUGAGUGUGAGAUGUAAAGGGUCAUGUUUGUACGGAAUACUUUUUCGUUUGUAACAAAUCAUGUUAGAUAUUUAGGGCCAUGUGUACCAUUGAAACCUUUUGAAAUUCCAGUCGCGUCUAUCAUGCAUUUUCUCGUCGUUCUGCAUUGAUUCUCAUUGUGAAAAAAAUCCUAGGGCCGUGUGUGCAAAACCUUCAUCGCCGUUUUUGAAGAGAUUUCUGCAAAACCCAAUUGUUCUUGCGUUAUCUUUUGUACUGAGGCCUAUUAUGACAUAUUAUCAAAAGAAUUCCAGAGCCAUAUGAACAUGUCUUACUUUGUUUUUGUAAAAAAACAUCUUUCUACUUUAUUAUGCACAAUUAUUUUAGGGACAUGUGGUGCAGUGUAGAGAUCUUACGUUCGUCCGUUCUGGAUAAAUUUCUCCAAUAGCUGGAUGUGUAUUUUCUUGACAAUAGCUAGAAGUGUUAGAUAAUUAGGGCCAUGUGUGAUUCCAGUCGGGUCUAUCAUGCACGGUCGUUCUAAAUUGAUUCUCAUUGUGAAAACAAUCCUAGGGCCAUGUGUACAAAAUUUUCAUUCCAGUCGCGUCUAUCAUGCAUUUUCUCGUCGUUCUGCAUUGAUUCUCAUUGUUAAAAAAAAUCCUAGGGCCAUGUGUACAAAAUUUUCAUCGCAGUUUUGUAGAGAUUUCUGCCAAACCCAAUUUUUCUUGCGUUAUCUUUUGUAGCAUACUUAGACCCGAUUAUAAACAGAUUAUUUACAUGAUUCCAGGGCCAUCUGAACGUUUCUUACUUUGUUUUUGUAAAAAAAAUCUUAGUUUCUAAUUUAUUGUGCAAAAUUAUUUCAUAGGGCCAUGUGGUGCAGUAUAUUCCUCCGUUCUGUAUACAUUUCUCCAAUAGCCGGACGUGUAUUUUCUUGAAAAUUGCUUGUGCAUUCAUAUCAUCCCUCUUGAGUGCGAUUCGUUGUGUGAAAUACUCUAGAGACAUGUGUUAAGUAUCAAUAGCUAUUUUUAUUUAAACUUGAAUAGCUCUAAUGUUGGAUCUAUGUUUUCUUGUAUACUAUGUAUUCCUCACCUGCAUAAACUUCACAGUGGUUCAUGAAGUGAAAUACUCUAUAUAGGACCAUAUUUUUAAAAAAAAUCUAAAUCAUUGUCUGUGCGACCGAAAAAAUCUUGGAGAUGCAUUGUUUAAAAAAAUGCCACCUACAUGUAUAGGGCCAUGAGCAGAUCUUACAUAUUCCUUGAAACAUUGUAACGGUCGUGAAACGUAAUCAGAACUAUGGUUUCAUCGAUUCCACAAUUAUUUUAUGACACUCUGAUCCUUGUCGAAAAUUACGUCUUAUGGACAUAUUGUUUGUGAUUUUGUUCUUCCAUAAUAUCCGAUUCACAAAGAUCGAUUAUUGUCUUUUGUGUUGGGCCAUUGCGUCAACUUAGUUUUGUUUAUUGUAAAUCAGGUGUAAUGACACCUGUUAUGUCGGAUACACCUUGUAAUCGCUCUGUAAAGUGCAAAUCUUGAAUUUACAGGUUGAAAUAAUGUGCAUCAAUUAAUUUUUUUUGACAGCCACAACACCAGUGGAGGUUUUGAUCGAUGGUACGUUUCAAUUCUGAUAAGUCCGAUCACAGCUCGUCGGCAAUGUGAAUGUUGUUUCCCUUUGCACCAAUGCGCCUUGCUUUGUCCAUACUGGAGUUAUCAUCUUCGCGACCAUUAGGCCAAAGAAUAGGCCUAAACUAAGCUUUCUUUCUCAACGGUUGAAUCCUUUACAGUGGUCAGGUAAGGGCCACCGAUUGGAUUAUUUUCACCGUCUGUAUGUAAGAUACUUUGCACCCAAUUAGGCCUAGAGAUCUACAAAGCAUAGAACAAACGUAAGUUUCCCUUUUUCUAUAUCUUUAUAGUGGUCAGGUAAGGACCAUUAAUAUACAUUUUCCUUCUCUUUACACCACAGUACCGAUCACAAUUUCCGAUCGGGAAGCCACUGUACAUUGUAGUAAACAUAACCUAGCUCCGCUAGGAAGACUUCUUUUAGUUUCAGCAACUUGCAGUUAGAUUAGGAGGACCAGUAUUGGCCAGAGUGCUCAUGGCAUGCAGUAGCUGAUGACACAGAGGAACCGGAAGCAGGGAGGAGGAACACCGGAUGGCUGAUGGCCCUGCUUGCCGGGCAUCCCAUUACUGAUUUCCUUGAGAUGGCGGUCUGCAAGAUGAGAUAUCAUUCGGGACGAAGAUACGAUCACUUCUGAAUCUCAAGGAACUGGAAGCAGGGAGGAGGACCGACGGAAGGACUGAAGACCCUGCUUAUAGAGCAAGUCUUCACCAAUUCUUUAGAUUCCUCGUGCUUCGUUUAUGCAGAAGAGAUGAUGACAAACAUAACAGAGUGCAGUUCUUGCCUGGGGUGGGAACACGAAUUUUAGCAACACUCGACUAAAAGUUUUUACAACAGCUUGCUCCUGAAAGUUUCCAUUAUGCGUUUCUCUUAAACGUUAAGGACACCAUCCCAUUUCAAAAUCCCUCGGAGUCCAGCUGGAAUAAAAAA
rnacentral:lncRNA from 1 species